GUUCUUGAAGAAUUUCUCUCUUUUUCCUCAACAUUCAAUUACUUGAAAUAAAUAAUCACUAAAAUUAUUUAUAAUUCCUGCAGUAUUUUUUUCUUGCUUGUUAAACGUAACACAAAUUCAUUUUUUAUUCGAUGGAGAAAAUGAUAAUAAUUAAUUAACGAUAUCUAGAGUCAUAUCUUUAUCUAUGAAAUUCAAAGAGGAAGUGAAAAGAAAGAUAUAUAUAUACAUAAACAGAAACAUCCUUUACAAUUUAUUAUUAUUGGAUAUUACAUCUUCGAAGCCGCUUUCAUUUUUCUUCUCCAACUUUCAUGAGAAAACCUAUGCAUAAACACUCAUGCAUUGAUAGAGAAUAAUCAAGAUGUUACUCAUGAUCAAAAAACACCAGAUUAGACCUUAAUCCUCCAGCUCCUGAAAUCAAGACUAGAACCUCAACAUUUACUCGUAUUUCUGGGACUGCUCAACGUUUUCUGGUUGCCCUGCAACAUAAUCAAGAAGCCCUUCGCCUGCUUUUUCACCAUGAGAAUCUGUAGCCAUGUGAGUAACUGUACCUCCAAAGACUAAGAUCAAUAUCAGGAAUACAGCUGUUGAGGCCAAUAAAGGCCAGAAGUAAGCAAGAAUGGUGACUAGCCUAGGAGCAGCAUAUAACAAUAAAGAUAGAACAACUGAAGCGGUGAUUGCUAUAGCAAAGUGAUGUCUAUAUUGCAAAAGCCUUUCUGGGAUAUCCAUAUGGCCAGAAAAUUUACUAAGAAAAGUGCUCAGAGAAAGAGAGGCAGAGAGUAGGAGGAAGCAAGGAGAGAAUGGUUUUGUCCUUGUUUUGAUACAAGUGCAAAUUAAUUGAAAUAAUCUUCAACAUUCAUGCAUUCAUACAUUGAUAGAGAAUAAUUGUCAAAGGGAGAUUCCUUUUCUUUCACAAAUAAUCAUCCUCUCUGUAGCCUUUAAGUUUUUCUCUCAUUUUCAUACAUCUCUAAUUACAGAAAUAACCUCAUCACCAGACUACUUUUAGCUAAAUUAUCUGCCAAAAAUGUUUUCAGAUUUCAAAAGGCAUU
rnacentral:lncRNA from 1 species